AGACCAUCUAUAAUACAGGUAAAUGAUCCUUUUUCAUUUACUUAUAUAUUUAUCCAGCACUGUUCUCUGUGGAGCACUGUAAUAUUGCCAAUAAUAUGUUUUAUUCUAGGAUACUGUAACACUUUGUUCCUACCCUUUCAUCUUUGAUGCCCAAGCCAAGACCAAAAUGUUACAGACUGAUGCUGAACUACAGAUGCAGGUAUCAUAUUUAAAAAAUUAUUUCCUCUUCUUACUGUGUUUUGUUUAUCCAAAGCAUUCAAUUGUAACUUUAACUUAACAGGAGAGAGUGUAUUUAGAUGAGGGGCAAUUAUAACUUUUUAGAACUAUUUAAAUUUUUUCAGCAAUUUUAUGUUGGAUGUAACACAUAUACAUGAAUGCAUGUUUACCUGGAUCAGGGGUUGACAAGCCUUCUCAUAAAGGGCCACAUAGGAAAUAUUUUAGUCUUUGUGGGCCAUAUAGUCUGUCUCAACUAUUCAACUAUCUGUGUGGUAGCACAGAAAGUGUGACGGACAGUAAGUAAAUGAAUGAGCAUGACAUUAUGCCUAUAAAAUGUUCUGUAUACUGAAAUUUGAAUUUUAUAUAAUUUUCACAUGUGAAAUAUUCUUUUUUUUUUUCAUUUUUUUUCCAGUCAUUUAAAAAUGAAAAAAAAUUGUUAUUUCAAGAGCUGUACAAAAACAGGCAGCAAGCUGGAUUUGGUCUGCAGGCCGUCGUUUGCUGCCCUUGGUAGAGACAGAGUGAUAAUUAAAUGGAGCUUGGUAAUUCUUUAUUGAAUAAAAACUUAAGUUACAGAGAUUUAAUUUAUUUAUUAAUUUAAAUACACAUUUUUAUUAUAAAAUAGAAUUGAUUUUGAGAAGUCUACAAAGACAUUUUGUGAAUUAGCAAUUCAGAUCUACCUUCCUACUGUUGGUAGAUCUGUUACUCCGUUCAUCCCUCUCUUUCUCUCCAUCUGUCUUUCUCUUGCUUUCUGUGUGUAUCUGUAUAUAAGUAUCUGUUUUCACAGUGACUUAUCCAUGUUAUUGUCAAUGUAAAGGUUUUCCAGAGAAAGUGGACAGUUUCAAAGAAUAAAAACCAUUUAACAAGUGGUUCUUAGGUUUCUUUUCCUGCUAUUUUGAGAGUCAUGGUUUUUACCAACUCUCCAUCAUGUUUCUUGUACUCUGAUGAUUAUUUCAGUCUUAAUUAGCUGGUCUCAGUCAUUUUCAUGGAACUGGUUAUGGGUCAUAUGCUUCAUCUGUUUCAUUUAAUUUCUUUUGGUUCAGAUUAGAAAGAUUUGUGUGUUUUGUAAACAUGAGCAACUUGGAAAAUCAGAAAUAACAAAACGGAGAUGCAAUCAGCCUGCUCCCCACUACCCCAGGUCCAAAGGCACAGCCGGCUGCGGUCUGCACUUACAAAGACACUGAGUAAUUGUGUUCUUCGAUGUGAUGUUCCAGGUGGCAGUCAACGGAGCCAACCUGCAGAAUGUCUUCAUGCUUCUCACCUUGGAGCCUCUGCUGGCCAGAAGCCCCUUCCUGGUCCUUCACGUUCGCAGGAACAAUCUUGUUGGAGAUGCCCUAAGAGAGCUGAGCAUUCAUUCCGACAUUGAUUUGAAAAAGCCUCUCAAAGUGAGCCCUUCAUUCUAUUCCUCUAAAUGACUUCCAAGGUUUUCUUUAAACAGGGGUGAUGAAACAGCAGAGGUCUUAUCAUUAAAAUUAUGGAGUACAGCCAUUCUUAAGGUCUUUCAUUCAUUUUGCAAUCAUUUAAUCACCUCCUUUUGUCAAAUCAAACAGAAUAUCUCAACAUAACAUCAGAUAAGGAUGCCAGAGGAUUACUUGAGGGAUUAUAGGGCUUUCUUUGUCCGUUCUCUUCAGUGACCCUGCUCCAACUCUACCAGAAACAAGCAAACUAGCAAAACUAAAGCUUCAACUAGGUAAAACUGUCAAGUCAGCAUCUAGCUUUGGUUGUCAAAGAUUGGAGAGAAAGAAGGAAAAAGGUAGAAUAAAAAGGAGUGAAAUUGUCUGGGAAGCUGUUGACCUAUCAUGAGUGCUCUUAGUACCCUGAAGUUAUUGAAUUACUGUUUUUUCUUUCCUCAUGGACUAUGCAUGUUUGUUACCACUUAUUAUAUUCCCAGGGCUUAACACAAUUCUUGGUUACAUAGUAGGUGUUUGAUUAGUAUUUAAUGAAUUAUUUGAAGUUGUUUUAAAUCAUUUAUCUUUCCCUUCAGAUGAUUUCCAGAUCUCCAUUGCCAUUCCUAUUUCCAAUUUCCAAAAGGCAGUAGGCAAGAGACUGAUGGUCUUCAUGCUAUUGUCACCCUUUCAGAACAUACCAUGAGUAACAUCAGUCUGCCUGGGAAUUCUUCCUGGAACUUAUGGGUUAGAUUUUUGAUAUUGCAAAGGCGGGGUGGGGGGGGGGUUGUCCCUUUGCCCCUGUUUUCAAUUAGUAAUUCAGAUGAGACACUUGUUGCUUUGUAGCAUGUCUGAGUUAAAUCUUCUGCUGGCAUACAUAGAAUCGGGGUCCUAGUGUCUGUCUCUACCUUUUCUUUUGUCCUACUCUUGGCAACCUUGAACUCACCCACAAGGGUACACUUUCUCAAAUGCUAUUUUUAGCUCUGUUUCUGAGCCCUUGCCUGUACAAUGGAGAUGAUAAUAGUAAUGGCUAUGCAUCAGACUGUUCUGAGGAUUAGGUUAAUAGAGUUUAAGUGCUGGCAUGUAACAAACUCUCAAUGAAUCUCAUUUGUUGGUUUGCUGCAGUUUUUACUGUGAUGGUCAUUGUGGGUCCAGGAUGCCCCAUGUAGAUCUGUUUAUAGCCUCUCACAGAACCCAGGUCUGUGCUUCCUUAGAAUGCCCUCCUCACUUCCAUAAGCAUCAGUUACUGCAGGAGCCCCACUGAGAAAGAUUUUUUCCAGAAAGUGUUCCUUUAUCCAAAUUAAUCAUUGCUUUUCUCUGUGUGCCAGAACAUUUACCUCUCAGUAUAUUUGACUCUCUGAAAAUAAAAUGUGUUCUCAAUUGAUUAUUUUAUAUUUGCCUCACUGCCCCAAAUAGAUGGUAAACUUUCCAUGGACAUAUGGUAAACUUCUGACUUCCUUUGUAUCCCUUGGAGUACCUAGGAAAAAUUUUGUGUGUAAGUGCCUUGUUACUAAUAAGUAGAUACACCUUGCAGUGUUCAUUGUGUCAAUGUAUUGUCUGUUAUAUAUCCCUUCCUUUGUCCUGACUUUGGAAGGAGUUUGCUUUAAAAAAAAAAGAUAAAACAUCAAAGAGUUCCCUGAAGUAUUAAUUCUGCUUUCAUUAUUUUAAGGUAAUCUUUGAUGGCGAAGAAGCAGUGGAUGCUGGCGGUGUCACAAAGGAGUUCUUUCUUUUACUGUUAAAAGAACUUUUGAAUCCUAUCUACGGAAUGUUUACCUACUAUCAGGAUUCAAAUCUCUUGUGGUUUUCAGAUACUGUAAGUUAGUGAUAUUGCAGUUAAACAGAUGGAUUGAAUUAAACUUUUCUUUUUGUGGUCAGACCGAUCUCCUGACUUCUGACUUUGCCAAGGGGAGCAUAACAAAGAUAAUUUAAACAAUCCAAUAGCGUAUCUAGUCUUCAUAUUUCACUUGUUGCCAAGAUCUCAUGUUUUGUCACUCAUCAGCCCCAUUUCCCUUUCUAGUAGUUAAGAUCCCAGGUUUUGUUACUCUUUGAAGGGUAAAAAGAACACAGUGUGAUAAAGAAAUGGGUUUUAUAACAUGUGGAAAGUGGUAGUCAAAUAUGUCUCAGCUUAAUAAUAACAGUGGUAUGUAUGUGUGUGAGUACUUCUACAGAUACAUGCACACACUGUAUUUUUGGAAAUUCAGUAGAAGAGCUAAACUUUCAAUGGCAUCCGUUUUUAACCAGACUAUAAUUUAGUUCUUGUUUUCUUUUCUUUUUUUUUUUUUUUAUUUUGAGAGAGACAGAGAGAACAAGUGGGGGAGGGGCAGAGAGAGAAUCCCAACUAGGUUCUGUGCUGUCAGUGUAGAGCCUGAUGCGGAACUCGAACCCACGAACUGUGAGUUCAUGACCUGAGUCAAAACCAAGAGUUGGAUGCUAACUGACUGAGCCACCCAGGCAUCCCUAGUUCUUUUUCCUUUUGGAGCUUUCUCCCUAGAUCUGCACUGUUCUAAAAAGGUAACUAUUACCCACACGUGGCCACUUAAAUUUAAAUCGUAUUUUAUUAAAAUUAAAUAAUAUGUAAUGGGGAGCCUGGGUGGCUCAGUUGGUUAAGCAUCCAACUUCGGCUUAGGUCAUGAUCUCAACAGUCUAUGAGUUCGAGCCCUGUGUCAGGCUCUGUGCUGACAGCCCAGAGCCUGGAGCCUGCUUCGGAUUCUGUGUCUCCCUCUCUCUCUGCCCCUCCCCUGCUUGUGCUCUGUCUCUCUCUCAAAAAUAAAUAAACAUUAAAAAAAAAGUAAAUAAUAUUUAAGAUUUAUUUUCAAAGUUGUGCUGGCCACAUUUCAAGUGUUCAGUGGGUGUAGUUGGUGGCUACAGUAUUGUAUAGCACGGAAUAGAAUGUUUCCGUCAUUGCACGAAGUCCUAUCGGAUAGCAUUGCUUCAGAAGAUUAUAUGCUAUUGUCUCUGUCUCCAGAUGGAGCUGUAAAUGCUUAACGUUGUUUGCAUUGAAUUUUUUGGUGGGAUAAUUGAACUUUUGUCAGGGUGUUUCUCUGCUUCAGAAGGUAACUAAAUAUUAAUGGGGUCUUUAUUCUUUUAUAUCGAAAGUAUUCUGAGGUAAAUGGCAGAGUGUUUGGAGGGCUGCAAGCACUGCCUUUCUUUUUAACACAUUUGUAUGCAUAUUGAAAAGUGUUUUGUAGAGCACAACUGGUUUCAUUUGAUCGGCAUAACCUGUGGACUAGCUAUCUACAACUCCACAGUGGUUGAUCUCCACUUCCCAUUGGCUCUCUACAAGAAGUUACUGAAUGUAAAGCCUGGCUUGGAA
rnacentral:lncRNA from 1 species